rnacentral:rRNA from 1 species
CCUACGGGAGGCAGCAGUGGGGAAUCUUGCGCAAUGGGCGAAAGCCUGACGCAGCAACGCCGCGUGCGGGAAGAAGGCCUUCGGGUUGUAAACCGCUUUCAGAAGGAACGAAAAUGACGGUACUUUCAGAAGAAGGUGCGGCCAACUACGUGCCAGCAGCCGCGGUGACACGUAGGCACCAAGCGUUGUCCGGAUUUAUUGGGCGUAAAGAGCUCGUAGGCGGUUCGGUAAGUCAGAUGUGAAAACUUUGGGCUCAACCCAAAGCCUGCAUCUGAUACUGCUGUGACUUGAGUUCGGUAGGGGAGUGGGGAAUUCCUAGUGUAGCGGUGAAAUGCGCAGAUAUUAGGAGGAACACCGGUGGCGAAGGCGCCACUCUGGGCCGAAACUGACGCUGAGGAGCGAAAGCGUGGGUAGCAAACAGGAUUAGAUACCCUGGUAGUCCACGCCGUAAACGUUGGGCACUAGGUGUGGGUUCCAACCAACGGAAUCCGCGCCGUCGCUAACGCAUUAAGUGCCCCGCCUGGGGAGUACGGUCGCAAGACUAAAACUCAAAGGAAUUGACGG